rnacentral:rRNA from 1 species
CACGAACGCUGGCGGCAGGCUUAACACAUGCAAGUCGAGCGCCACGCAAGGGGAGCGGCAGACGGGUGAGUAACGCGUGGGAAUCUACCCAUCUCUACGGAAUAACGCAUGGAAACGUGUGCUAAUACCGUAUACGUCCUUCGGGAGAAAGAUUUAUCGGAGAUGGAUGAGCCCGCGUUGAAUUAGCUAGUUGGUGGGGUAAAGGCCUACCAAGGCGACGAUCCAUAGCUGGUCUGAGAGGAUGAUCAGCCACACUGGGACUGAGACACGGCCCAGACUCCUACGGGAGGCAGCAGUGGGGAAUAUUGGACAAUGGGCGCAAGCCUGAUCCAGCCAUGCCGCGUGAGUGAUGAAGGCCCUAGGGUUGUAAAGCUCUUUCACCGGUGAAGAUAAUGACGGUAACCGGAGAAGAAGCCCCGGCUAACUUCGUGCCAGCCGCCGCGGUAACAC